UGGGGAAUAUUGGACAAUGGGGGCAACCCUGAUCCAGCAAUACCGCGUGUGUGAAGAAGGCCUUCGGGUUGUAAAGCACUUUGGGCGGGGAAGAAGGUAUUCUGUUUAAGAGAUGGGAUAUUUGACGGUACCCGCAGAACAAGCACCGGCUAACUCUGUGCCAGCAGCCGCGGUAAUACAGAGGGUGCGAGCGUUAAUCGGAAUUACUGGGCGUAAAGGGCGCGUAGGCGGAUGUGCAAGUGAGAUGUGAAAUACCCGGGCUCAACCUGGGAACUGCAUCUUAAACUGCAUAUCUGGAGUACUGUAGAGGAUAGUGGAAUUUCCGGUGUAGCGGUGAAAUGCGUAGAGAUCGGAAGGAACAUCAGUGGCGAAGGCGACUGUCUGGACAGAUACUGACGCU
rnacentral:rRNA from 1 species